rnacentral:rRNA from 1 species
GAUGAACGCUGGCGGCGUGCCUAAUACAUGCAAGUAGAACGCUGAAGGAGGAGCUUGCUCUUCUGGAUGAGUUGUGAACGGGUGAGUAACGCGUAGGUAACCUGCCUGGUAGCGGGGGAUAACUAUUGGAAACGAUAGCUAAUACCGCAUGACAACAGUUAUUGCAUGAUAACUGUUUAAAAGGGGCAACUGCUCCACUACCAGAUGGACCUGCGUUGUAUUAGCUAGUUGGUGAGGUAACGGCUCACCAAGGCGACGAUACAUAGCCGACCUGAGAGGGUGAUCGGCCACACUGGGACUGAGACACGGCCCAGACUCCUACGGGAGGCAGCAGGAGGGAAUCGUCGGCAAGGGACGGAAGUCUGACCGAGCAACGCCGCGUGAGUGAAGAAGGGUUUCGGAUCGUAAAGCUCUGUUGUAAGAGAAGAACGAGUGUGAGAGUGGAAAGUUCACACUGUGACGGUAGCUUACCAGAAAGGGACGGCUAACUACGUG